rnacentral:snRNA from 1 species
UUUCCCUCUUUUGGGCUUAGGUUU